rnacentral:rRNA from 1 species
AUUGAACGCUGGCGGCAGGCCUAACACAUGCAAGUCGAGCGGAUGAAGGGAGCUUGCUCCUGGAUUCAGCGGCGGACGGGUGAGUAAUGCCUAGGAAUCUGCCUGGUAGUGGGGGAUAACGUCCGGAAACGGGCGCUAAUACCGCAUACGUUCUGAGGGAGAAAGUGGGGGAUCUUCGGACCUCACGCUAUCAGAUGAGCCUAGGUCGGAUUAGCUAGUUGGUGGGGUAAAGGCCUACCAAGGCGACGAUCCGUAACUGGUCUGAGAGGAUGAUCAGUCACACUGGAACUGAGACACGGUCCAGACUCCUACGGGAGGCAGCAGUGGGGAAUAUUGGACAAUGGGCGAAAGCCUGAUCCAGCCAUGCCGCGUGUGUGAAGAAGGUCUUCGGAUUGUAAAGCACUUUAAGUUGGGAGGAAGGGCAGUAAGUUAAUACCUUGCUGUUUUGACGUUACCAACAGAAUAAGCACCGGCUAACUUCGUG